UACAGAGGUCUCAAGCGUUGUUCGGAUUCAUUGGGCGUAAAGGGUGCGUAGGUGGCGUCGUAAGUCAGGUGUGAAAUUUCGGAGCUUAACUCCGAAACUGCAUUUGAUACUGCGGUGCUUGAGGACUGGAGAGGAGACUGGAAUUUACGGUGUAGCAGUGAAAUGCGUAGAGAUCGUAAGGAAGACCAGUGGCGAAGGCGGGUCUCGUGGACAGUUCCUGACACUGAGGCACGAAGGCCAGGGGAGCAAACGGG
rnacentral:rRNA from 1 species